ACUCGGAUCCGCGCUGCAGAGUUUGAUCCUGGCUCAGAUUCGCUGGCGGCAUGCCUUACACAUGCAAGUCGAACGGUAACGGGCCUUCGGGCGCCGACGAGUGGCGAACGGGUGAGUAAUGCAUCGGAACGUGCCCAGUAGUGGAUAGCCCGGCGAAAGCCGGAUUAAUACCGCAUGAGACCUGAGGGUGAAAGCGGCGGGAUCGCAAGACUCUCGCGCUACUGGAGCGGCCGAUGUCAGAUUAGCUAGUUGGUGGGGUAAAGGCCUACCAAGGCAACGAUCUGUAGUUGGUCUGAGAGGACGACCAGCCACACUGGGACUGAGACACGGCCCAGACUCCUACGGGAGGCAGCAGUGGGGAAUUUUGGACAAUGGGCGCAAGCCUGAUCCAGCAAUGCCGCGUGCAGGAAGAAGGCCUUCGGGUUGUAAACUGCUUUUGUCAGCUCCGUCUUCUGGGUUAAUACCUCGGGAGGAUGACGGUACCUGAAGAAUAAGCACCGGCUAACUACGUGCCAGCAGCCGCGGUAAUACGUAGGGUGCGAGCGUUAAUCGGAAUUACUGGGCGUAAAGCGUGCGCAGGCGGCUUCAUGCAAGACAGAUGUGAAAUCCUGCUCAACCUGGGAACUGCAUUUGUGACUGCAAGGCUAGAGUACGGCAGAGGGGGAUGGAAUUCCGCGUGUAGCAGUGAAAUGCGUAGAUACUGCGGAGCUCCACCGAUGGCGAAGGCAAUCCCCUGGGCCUGUACUGACGCUCAUGCACGAAAGCGUGGGGAGCAAACAGGAUUAGAUACCCUCCAGUCCACGCCCUAAACGAUGUCAACUGGUUGUUGGACGGCUUGCUGUUCAGUGUGGAAGCUAACGCGUGAAGUUGACCGCCUGGGGAGUACGGCCGCAAGGCAACUCAACAGGAAUUGACGGGGACCCGCACAAGCGGUGGAUGAUGUGGGGUCACGAUGCCACGCGAUAACCUUACCUACCCCUUGACAUGUCAAGCGCUUGCAGAGAACUGAGAGUGCGCGAACGAGAACUUGAACACAGGUGCUGCAUGGCCGUCGUCAGCUCGUGUCGUGAGAUGUUGGGUUAAGUCCCGCAACGAGCGCAACCCUUGUCAUUAGUUGCUACGAAAGGGCACUCUAAUGAGACUGCCGGUGACAAACCGGAGGAAGGUGGGGAUGACGUCAGGUCCUCAUAUGUUAUGGGUAGGGCUACACACGUCAUACAAUGGCCGGUACAGAGGGUUGCCGUAGGCGAGGGGGAGCCAAUCCCAGAAAACCGGUCGUAGUCCGGAUCGCAGUCUGCAACUCGACUGCGUGAAGUCGGAAACGUAGUAAUCGCGGAUCAGCUUGCCGCGGUGAAUACGUUCCCGGGUCUUGUACACACCGCCCGUCACACCAUGGGAGCGGGUUCUGCCAGAAGUAGAUUAGCCUAACGCGCAAGGAGGCGCGAUUAACCACGGCAGGGUUCGUGACUGGCGGUGAAGUCGUAAGCAAUGGUAAUCCGA
rnacentral:rRNA from 1 species